rnacentral:rRNA from 1 species
UACGAAGGGAGCUAGCGUUGUUCGGAAUCACUUGGGCGGUAAAGCGCACGUAGGCGGAUGUGUCAGUCAGGGGUGAAAUCCCGGAGCUCAACUUCGGAACUGCCCUUGAUACAGCCACAUCUUGAGUCCGGAAGAGGUGGGUGGAAUUCCUAGUGUAGAGGUGAAAUUCGAUAGAUAUUAGGAAGAACACCAGUGGCGAAGGCGGCUACCUGGACCAGCACUGACAACUGAGGCACGAAAGCGUGGGGAGCAAACAGG